AUGGGAACCAGGUUCGUUACGUUUGUCGAUAUGGUGUUAGCACUCCACAAGGGAACCAUAGAAGAGUUUGAUAUAUCAGGUAACAAAAGUUACCAGGAUGAGUUCGCUAGGUGGAUGCUCAUGCUGUCAAGGAGAUCACCAAGGUCAGUUAUAAUCAAGUUGAACUCAGGGAUAAGGUAUAAGAUUUCCUCAUACCUCUUUUCAAUCGGUGAUUUGAAGUUUCUGCAACUAGAAAACUGCAUCAUCAACUUGCCCCGGGCAUUCCAAGGCAUCAACCAACUAAACAUUCAAGCUCCUAAGGUAGAAUAUCUUAUUGUUUAUGGGGACUUUGAAGACAUUAAUUUGGACGCCCCUAAUCUGAAGUUGGCCAUCCUCUAUCUAGGUCACCAAGCUAAAGCAUAUCAAUAUGUUCCAAUUGCGCAUGACAAAGAAAACCAUGCCAAGAAGUCAUUGGGAAGCCUAAGUGAGAUCAAAACACUUGGAAUCACUGGAAGUUUCAUGAAGUAUCUAUCAAAAGGGUGUAUACUUGCGAAGCUCCCUGCUGUGUUUACUCACCUCGAGAAUAUUUAUCUUAUUAUAUGCUUUUGGGACCAGAGGCAAGUCUUCGCCGCUUAUUCAUUAUUUCAAAAUGCCCCUAAUUAA
rnacentral:rRNA from 1 species